CCUACGGAGGCUGCAGUGGGGAAUAUUGGGCAAUGGGCGAAAGCCUGACCCAGCAACGCCGCGUGAAGGAAGAAGGCUUUCGGGUUGUAAACUUCUUUUGACAGGGAAGAGCAGAAGACGGUACCUGUCGAAUAAGCUACGGCUAACUACGUGUCAGCAGCCGCGGUAAUACGUAGGUGGCAAGCGUUGUCCGGAUUUACUGGGUGUAAAGGGCGUGUAGCCGGGCUGACAAGUCAGAUGUGAAAUCCGGGGGCUCAACCACCGAACUGCAUUUGAAACUGUUGGUCUUGAGUGUCGGAGAGGCAGGCGGAAUUCCUAGUGUAGCGGUGGAAUGCGUAGAUAUUAGGAGGAACACCAGUGGCGAAGGCGGCCUGCUGGACGACAACUGACGGUGAGGCGCGAAAGCGUGGGGAGCAAACAGGAUUAGAUACCCGUGUAGUC
rnacentral:rRNA from 1 species